CCUACGGGUGGCAGCAGUCAAGAAUCAUUCACAAUGGGGGAAACCCUGAUGGGGCGACGCCGCGUGGGGGAAUGAAGGUCUGCGGAUUGUAAACCCCUGUCAUGUGGGAGCAAAUUAAAAAGAUAGUACCACAAGAGGAAGAGACGGCUAACUCUGUGCCAGCAGCCGCGGUAAUACAGAGGUCUCAAGCGUUGUUCGGAAUCACUGGGCGUAAAGCGUGCGUAGGCUGUUUCGUAAGUCGUGUGUGAAAGGCGCGGGCUCAACCCGCGGACGGCCCAUGAUACUGCGAGACUAGAGUAAUGGAGGGGGAACCGGAAUUCUCGGUGUAGCAGUGAAAUGCGUAGAUAUCGAGAGGAACACUCGUGGCGAAGGCGGGUUCCUGGACAUUAACUGACGCUGAGGCACGAAGGCCAGGGGAGCGAAAAGGAUUAGAUACCCCAGUAGUC
rnacentral:rRNA from 1 species